rnacentral:rRNA from 1 species
AGCCUCAUGAAAUUAUGUGAGGUGAAGCCUGCCCGGUGAAAUUUAAACGGCCGCUUAGGUGCUAAGGUAGCAUAAUAAUUUGUCUUUUCAUUGAAGACUAGAAUGAAUGGCUUAACGAAGCUCAGCUGUCUCCCCUUUUCAAGUGAAAAUUGAUAAAAAAGUGAAAGAUCUUUUUUUAAUGUGGUGGACGAGAAGACCCUAUAGAGUUUUAGUAGCAACUUUUUUAAUAAAAGUGAUACUUUUAUUGGGGCAAUAAUAGAACAAAAAAAAUCUAAUUUAUACCUUCCUAAAAUAGAAAAUAUAAACUACCUUAGGGAUAACAGCGUAAUCUCCCCAGAGAGAACUAAUCGAAGGGGAGGUUUGCGACCUCGAUGUUGGACUAAGGUAACAAAUAUAUGCAGAAGUAUAUUAAGUAAGCCUGUUCGGCUUAUAAAACCUUACAUG